ACUCUGCUAAGAAGGUGAUUGACCUAUAAGUUGAGAGUUCGGAUGAUAAAGAUGAUAGCUUGCUUCAUCACUUGAAGCCUAGUGUGGCUAAGAGGAUGAAAACUAAAAAGGGCAGGUCUGUGGCUGAGAUGAUGACAGCCAAAACUUCGAAGAAGGCUAUUGGUGUAGGCCCCUCAAAGUCUUGGAGCAAGGCUGAGGUGAAGAAGAGGAAAGUGAGAGACAGUUCUGACUCAGAUGAAGAUGUCCCUG
rnacentral:lncRNA from 1 species